CCUACGGGUGGCUGCAGUGAGGAAUAUUGGUCAAUGGGCGCGAGCCUGAACCAGCCAAGUCGCGUGAGGGAGGACGGCCCUACGGGUUGUAAACCUCUUUUGCCGGGGAGCAACGGGCGGCACGUGUGGCGCCACUGAGAGUACCCGGAGAAAAAGCAACGGCUAACUCCGUGCCAGCAGCCGCGGUAAUACGGAGGAUGCGAGCGUUAGCCGGAUUGAUUGGGUUUACAGGGUGCGUCGGCGGAUCGUGAAGUCAGUGGUCCAAUUGAGGGGCUCACCCCCUUCCCGCCAUUGAAACUGGCGCUCUUGAGUGGACGAGAAGUAUGCGGCAUGCGUGGUGUAGCGGUGA
rnacentral:rRNA from 1 species